GCCUGGGUGGCUCAGUCGGUUAAGUGUCUGACUUCUGCUCAGGUCACCAUCUCACAGUUUGUGGGUUCAAGCCCCAUGUCGGGCU
rnacentral:tRNA from 1 species